CCACCAGACUCCUACGGGAGGCAGCAGUGGGGAAUAUUGCACAAUGGGGGGAACCCUGAUGCAGCGACGCCGCGUGAGCGAAGAAGUAUUUCGGUAUGUAAAGCCCUAUCAGCAGGGAAGAAAAUGACGGUACCUGAGUAAGAAGCCCCGGCUAACUACGUGCCAGCAGCCGCGGUAAUACGUAGGGGGCAAGCGUUAUCCGGAUUUACUGGGUGUAAAGGGAGCGUAGACGGCGAUACAAGUCUGAAGUGAAAGCCCGGGGCCCAACCCCGGGACUGCUCUUGGAACUGCGCGGCUGGAGUGCAGGAGGGGCAGGCGGAAUUCCUGGUGUAGCGGUGAAAUGCGUAGAUAUCAGGAGGAACACCGGUGGCGAAGGCGGCCUGCUGGACUGCGACUGACGUUGAGGCCCGAAAGCGUGGGGAGCAAACAGGAUUAGAUACCCUGGUAUG
rnacentral:rRNA from 1 species